rnacentral:lncRNA from 1 species
AGCAGCCAAGCCCCCAAACCAAGUUUGCUACAAGGGUUGGAUUAUCGGCAUGGGAGACACGCCAGUCCACAAAGCAGGGUGCCAUAAUUCCCAAUUAUAAUAAUAUGUCAUGGCAGGGCACAAUACCACAAAGCAUGGACCCUAACCAUAGUCCAUUUUGGAGUACAUAAAUCAAGGCACACAAGACCACAUAACAUGGUGGCAAAAAUCCCAAGUUGGCAAACCAC